AAUCCACAGCCUGGAUCUCCGUCACUGCUAUGUAUGAAGUGCCUAAAAACUGCCAGGCAAAUUAAUAAUAAUGCUUUAAAAAACACUUAAGGAAAUUGCAAUCCGACCCUUUCUAGUACAGGAAGCCGGCGGCACAGUUGUCUUUGUCUUAACGACAGCCGCUGUCUGCCUGACGCUGCUCGCAUGUGGGGGGGGCAUGCUAACGACAUCACUGUGCAUCUCAUCUAUGUCUCGUAAUGUCUCAGAGGAAGCCACCAAUGUUCCUGCUUUCCAGAAGAAAGAGCUGAGAUCUGCAGAGUCACGAAGCCAGUGGGACUCAGUCCAUGCCUGUCUGGCCUCAGCACCACAUCACAUCGUUUUUCAAGAGCGAAUCCCUCGUGGGAAGCUUUGUGAUUUGUGAAACGUCCUUUGGAAACGAUCCUCAUAGCACCAGGAUAAGUCAAUCCCCUUCGGCUCCCGUAGUGCGUUGGUUGACUGCUAUUUCUAUGGGUCUGGGCGUGGGUGAUGUAGGAGGUAGCUGAUUCCCAGGAGCCUUUUCUCUCCCUCUCUUCCAGACCGAGUCCCAGGAAACCUGGAUCUUACUUAGGCUCCAGGUAAACCCUCCAACCCCCUGGAAUAGAGGGAUCUCUCUGCAUUCCUCUCUCCUACGGAGAACGAAGUCUCCUCCCCCAUUGCAAAAACCAAACAGCAGCCAGAAAACUCGAGCAGGAAGCUUACAUUAUGCAACUAGAAUGCCCUUUGUCUGCGUCAACAGGUCUUCUUUUCUCUGAAGUGGACCAGGUAGUAAAAGCUUUUGUCCUCAGGCGCCGAGAUCUCUUCCUGACACCUCAGCUUUUCUCCUGUGCUGCAGGCCCUUCUUACACAGACUAAAAGAUGAGCUCCCUGCGAGCGCACAGUUUACUUCCUGUUGUUUGCCACAUUCCUGAGCCUGGCAAAUCUACAGCAGUAAAUAUGAAAAACAAACAAACAAAAGAAAAGAAAAAAAAAAAACCUUUAGCAUCAAGUUGGCUGUGAAAAACGAAGUGCCCCCUCCCCAGCCUUCUGAGUUCAAAUCCAUGCACUUUUCGUCAUGCUGUACUGCCUCUCUGUUUCCUGUGUCAAGAGCCCAAAACCCAAAUUUUAGGAAAAUGAAGCCACAAAACUGCAAAGCAGGAAAAUGAGGAGCUCCGCAAGAACCCAGGUCUCCUGAUGUCAGGUGACUCAGGCUGUUCUUGCUGUCACAGGCAAGCUGAGGAUUGUGCCCCCAGAUACGAAGUGAAAGCUGAAGCUAGACUCUGUUCUUGCUUUUCCAGCAUGGCAUGGUGGCCCUCGAGUUCAUGGGUUUGUAAGUAUGUGGCGUGUGGAUCUCAGAGCUGUGCAACCAGCCCUUCUCUGUGCUCAGGCCACCUCCGCUGGACACAGCUUCAAAGGCGAGAGUAUGGAGGCAGCGGCAUGUGACCACCAGGUCUGCUCAGACACAGUUAUCUGAGUUGCCAUGUGCGAAGCACCCAUGCUAAAGCUCAAAGCCCGAUACCCGACUCAGCACAGAAGCAAAGUCCCCUGGAGGGCAGAAAGGUUCUCAUCCCUUCUUAUGCCUUUUGGGUCAUGUAACAAUUCCACAUCCCUCUGCAGUGUCACCAGGUGAAGCCGACGGCCCACUGCCUGAUUUCUCCUUUGCCUCUAUGCUUCCAUCUCUCCUGAGAGCCUGAGUAAACACCCAGGAGCUAUGGUUGUCAAGCCAGGGGUGCUCCAAUGAGGACCCCUUCUGGCCUUUUGUAUGUAGGGUUGAGAAUGCCAGAACCCACCAGCUGACAGGCGGCCCUUUCAGAUUCCUCCUGGAAACAGCUUGUUUUGGGUGGUCUGGAGGACCAUGCCCAUCUCUGCCCUGUGAACCUCCUUUCUGCUCUCACCACAGGGAGGACAGAAACAGCGCUGCUGAUGCACUGCUUGUGAAUGGCUGCAGCCAGGCUGGAAAGAAAAGAAGGGUUUGUUUGGUGGUUUGCUCUCUGCAUACUGAGUCAACUGACUGCACAGUGUAAAUUGCCCCCCCCCACAUUUGCCUUUCUCCCAGGUGAUUUUGUCCUCUGGGGAGACAGAACCAAUGGAAAGAGUGAGGCACUGGAAUGAGAGUUCAAAUCCCAGGUCUGUCCUGCUGUAGAUGACUGCAAAACCUUAGUUGUUUUCAGCUUUCCACAUGAGGGCAAGUUCCAGCUUGUACCCUGUGGGGUGAACUAAACUAGUGGAAAAGGAUGUCUUACUGGCCCCAAGAACCAAAGGACAGAAUUCAAGGUGAAUGAAGUUCCUGGAAAGCAAGGAGAAAAUCCUGAAAAGGAAGGAGCCAAAGGAAAUCUAUUCAUAAAUUGCCUGAAUCUCUGACUGACCUCUGAACCAUAUGCGCACACAGGGAAUUGUCUCAAAAACAGCAAAACAAAAGUCACUACUCUUCAGAGGAAUACAACAGAAUCCAGAGUUUCUAUAACAUAUUUUUUACAGUGUCUGGAACAUAAUCCAAAAUUAAUAGAUGUCUGAAGAAAUAGAAAAACGUGUUCAUAUGGAAAAAAAAUUAUAACAACAUAAUAUAGGAUUUAUAAUGUGUGUAGAUCUAAUAUAGAUUAGAACCAUAGCAUAAAUCCCAUGGGCUUUUAAAUUUAAGACAAACUCGGACAAUAUUAACUCUUGGUUGGCUGUGAAACAUUAAGAAUAUAUAUUGUAAUCCUGCAAAUCAACCUGGCAAAAAAGUAAAAUAAGUAAAUGGAAUAGGAGUAUCAGCUUUAUUCGAUUUGCCCCUUUCAGAUAUAUUUCUACUACAGAUUUUCAGGCCCACCCAAUAGCUGUCUCGAUUUCAAACCACAGAAUAAAAGGAUAGCUGAAUCCAGACAGGGAGAGCUCCAGUGCCUCCCUGGAGACCUGACCUCUCCAACCUUCAUGAGAACAAGAAGAAAAGAAAGGGAAUUCAGGAGGGACAUCCCGGUUCAGGGGCAUGAGCAAGGCUGGUGGCAUGUCAGCAGAAAAGGGCAGGGUUACUGAGUGGAAUGACUGGAAAUACACAAAGAAUGUUAGGUGUGAAGCUGCUUCCGGAAGCAGGUGUCUCCUAAGGCCCACCGCUACCAAUUGGCACAUUAAACUAAUUUGGGUAAACAAGCAGCGAAGACUUUUUCUGACAACACUUCUGAUUCUUCUGAGCUACUGCAGAAGGCCCGAAAAGACCAAGCAACGUCACAGUUGUCUCACCCGGCAUGCUCUGUGUCAGCCUGCGCUGGUGCGUCAGGGAGGAGCAGCGAAAGUGACGUGACCUGACGUCAACCCCUCCGUUGAGCGGUCUCACGCUCCCUUGGGACACAGUUUCCAAGCCAGCCGGGAUUAUUUCACAAUCCAUAGCCAAGAAGGCAUGAAGGUACCCGAGAAGACCAUACUACGUUAGCCACAGAUUCCACAUUCAUUUUGUGUAGACGAAAGAAUUGCGAAGACCGGAGGAGUUUGACGGAUACAAAUUAUCCGAGUUUGACGGAUACAAAUUAUCCGGAGCUCUAAACCGUAUGGAAGCGGACUGAAAGUCCUUCCCGUGGUUUCCUGGAGUCAGCACGCCCGACUCAGCCCUGAAGGUGACCACAUCUGGCCUGGUUCUGACUCAGCACCCGCAGCAAGUGUGCCCUUGCUGAAAGGGAUUAUGGCUUGAGAACGAGCGCCUUCUUCAGAGCUGGCCUCGGGGGAGAGGGUUGGGAGAGAGGCUAAAGUAACGACGUGGGUCCGGGAUUUUAUUUCCAAACGUUUACUGGUCUAUUUACAGGGUACAGAUGCAGAGCAGGGUGAGGUGGGUAUGGGAGGGCUGCAGGGCUUCCCUUGCCCUCUCUGGUCGUGCCAACCUCAGGGACCUUCACAUGGUUAGGUCUGCAGAGACUUCCUGUGACCCUUCCUUUUGGGUGUUUGAGGAGAUCUCAUGACCUACCGUGAUCACAUCCUUGGACCUUGGUAAUGGGCUUCACCUGCAGCUAAGGGCAGGCCUAGAAGUACAGCCCUGGCUGACGCUGUGGGCUGUUAUAUCAUUGGGUUCUAUAAGCCAGAAGAGUAAGGGCACAAGAGAGAGAGAGAGAAAAAAAAACAAAACUCCACAGUAAAUCAAAAUAAGCAUUUGUAAAAUCAAAACUCACAAUGAAUAAAAUACCACAAUUUUCCUUCAAGGCAGGCUAUAGCUCCUUGUUUUAUGACCCUGUGUUACGGGGUGAAAAGGAAGGCUUGUCAUUCAUCAGUCCCUGACUUCCCACGAGACCCAGGCCUUCGUUUCUACACCAGCAAAACGAAGUGGUUCUCAGACUUUUUCCUGGGAGCACCCUGUCCCAAUAGACCUUGUGUAGAAGCCAGGGCUCAUCUGUUUGAACUUGGGGUGUGUGCUCCGGUCUGAAUGUAUGGGCACCCCACCCCCCAAAUUCACAAGGUGAAAUCCUACCCUCAAGGCGAUGGUAUUAGAAGGUGGAGUCUCUGGGGAUGCUUAGGUUCAGGGGUGGUUACGGUUAGCGUCCCCAUGAAGAGGCCCAGAAGAGGCCCCUGCCCCUUCCACCCUGUGAGGACACAGCAGGAGGUUGGUGUGUGCUGGAAAGCAGCUCGCACUGGUUGCUUGGCCCUCUCAGCCUCCUGUGUUGCGAGAAAUACUUGCGUCUCAUCUGAUUCCUUGUUUAUGUAUGGUACAUUGUUCCAGCUGCCCCAGUGGACUUGGCGUGGGAAACCCAGUCCUGUACCUGGUGAGCUUUGCUGACCCCAGCACUGGCCUCUGUGGACCCCUCCUCUGCCACGCUCCUCAGAGAACAGCUGGAACACAGAAUUAGAGGAAAGAUGGAUGCCCAUUCUGGUUCUAAUGUUCUCUUCCGGCCCAGGAGAAAGCCCUGCCUGUGCUGCAUGUUGAAAUCUGACUGAAAUGUUUAUCCACAUCAAGAAGCCAGCAGAGCCUCCCGCUGUUGUCUGAGCUUCAGGGUGCGUCCCCCUCUGUCUCGGGCCCCUCCCGCCUGCAGGGCCCUGGGAUUAGCAGAAACAGCGGGAGGAUUUCAUCAGUCUCGGCUGGCUGGUGCAGUUCACAGAGGACAGUGCUCACUGCCAGGCUUUAACAAGAAGCAGGCGCCCUGGGGACGCUGACAAAUGUCUGGGGCUGUCUGCACAGGGCCAGCAGCCAGUGGCAGCCAGCUGGGCUCAACCUGCUGAUAUGUGACAGUCCCAGACCUGAGAAACAACCCAGCACUGAGAGUGAGGAGGUCCCCAUGGUCUUCAGAACCACAGUGAACCCCAUCACCCGCAGUAGCGUCGUCAUCAUCCUGACCACGGGCCCUGUUCCUCCCCUGUCACAGGCCUUCGGAGCUUCGUAGUCUACUCUGAAGAUGCAGGUGACAGGGGGCGGGAGCGUGUGGGGGAACCACGGAGACCGUCAGGGACCCUGCGUCUUCCUCUCAUUGCCAUGUGACCUGAGCCAGGGUUCCAGCUGCCUACACUUCGAGUUUCUUUGCCAAACAAUGGAAAUAUAGCACCCACCACAGCUAUGGUGAGCAGCAUACAUGGGAUUAUGUAAAACAGGGCAUACAGCAGGUGCUCAGUAAACGAUGCCCCCCCGCUUUAGUGUGGCUCCCACCUUCUUGAAGAAAUGGAGCAAGAAAAAAUGUCUUCUUAAAUCAACUUUGAG